rnacentral:rRNA from 1 species
UUGGAUGAGUUGCGAACGGGUGAGUAACGCGUAGGUAACCUGCCUUGUAGCGGGGGAUAACUAUUGGAAACGAUAGCUAAUACCGCAUAACAAUGGGUGACACAUGUCAUUUAUUUGAAAGGGGCAAUUGCUCCACUACAAGAUGGACCUGCGUUGUAUUAGCUAGUAGGUGAGGUAACGGCUCACCUAGGCGACGAUACAUAGCCGACCUGAGAGGGUGAUCGGCCACACUGGGACUGAGACACGGCCCAGACUCCUACGGGAGGCAGCAGUAGGGAAUCUUCGGCAAUGGGGGCAACCCUGACCGAGCAACGCCGCGUGAGUGAAGAAGGUUUUCGGAUCGUAAAGCUCUGUUGUAAGUCAAGAACGAGUGUGAGAGUGGAAAGUUCACACUGUGACGGUAGCUUACCAGAAAGGGACGGCUAACUACGUGCCAGCAGCCGCGGUAAUACGUAGGUCCCGAGCGUUGUCCGGAUUUAUUGGGCGUAAAGCGAGCGCAGGCGGUUUGAUAAGUCUGAAGUUAAAGGCUGUGGCUCAACCAUAGUUCGCUUUGGAAACUGUCAAACUUGAGUGCAGAAGGGGAGAGUGGAAUUCCAUGUGUAGCGGUGAAAUGCGUAGAUAUAUGGAGGAACACCGGUGGCGAAAGCGGCUCUCUGGUCUGUAACUGACGCUGAGGCUCGAAAGCGUGGGGAGCGAACAGGAUUAGAUACCCUGGUAGUCCACGCCGUAAACGAUGAGUGCUAGGUGUUGGAUCCUUUCCGGGAUUCAGUGCCGCAGCUAACGCAUUAAGCACUCCGCCUGGG